rnacentral:rRNA from 1 species
UACGGGGGGGGGUAAGCGUUGUUCGGAAUUAUUGGGCGUAAAGAGCUCGUAGGCGGCUUGUUGCGUCGGUUGUGAAAGCCCGGGGCUUAACCCCGGGUCUGCAGUCGAUACGGGCAGGCUAGAGUGUGGUAGGGGAGAUCGGAAUUCCUGGUGUAGCGGUGAAAUGCGCAGAUAUCAGGAGGAACACCGGUGGCGAAGGCGGAUCUCUGGGCCAUUACUGACGCUGAGGUGCGAGAGCGUGGGGAGCGAACCGG